rnacentral:rRNA from 1 species
UACGUAGGGUGCGAGCGUUAAUCGGAAUUAUUGGGCGUAAAGCGCACGUAGGCGGCUCUGUAAGUUGGAUGUGAAAUCCCUCGGCUUAACCAAGGAAGUGCAUUCAAAACUGCAGAGCUUGAGUACUUAAGAGGAUCGCGGAAUUCCCGGUGUAGAGGUGAAAUUCGUAGAUAUCGGGAGGAACACCAGUGGCGAAGGCGGUGAUCUGGGAAGAUACUGACGCUGAGGUGCGAAAGCGUGGGGAGCAAACAGG